rnacentral:rRNA from 1 species
GAGUUUGAUCAUGGCUCAGGAUGAACGCUGGCGGCGUGCCUAACACAUGCAAGUCGAGCGAAGCGAUUUCGAGGAAGUUUUUGGAUGGAAUUGGAAUUGACUGAGCGGCGGACGGGUGAGUAACGCGUGGGUAACCUGCCUCAUACAGGGGGAUAACAGUUAGAAAUGACUGCUAAUACCGCAUAAGCGCACAGGACCGCAUGGUCGAGUGUGAAAAACUCCGGUGGUAUGAGAUGGACCCGCGUCUGAUUAGCUAGUUGGUGGGU